rnacentral:rRNA from 1 species
CACGUAGGCGGAUAUUUAAGUCAGGGGUGAAAUCCCAGAGCUCAACUCUGGAACUGCCUUUGAUACUGGGUAUCUUGAGUAUGGAAGAGGUGAGUGGAAUUCCGAGUGUAGAGGUGAAAUUCGUAGAUAUUCGGAGGAACACCAGUGGCGAAGGCGGCUUACUGGUCCAUUACUGACGCUGAGGUGCGAAAGCGUGGGGAGCAAACA